rnacentral:rRNA from 1 species
GACGAACGCUGGCGGCGUGCUUAACACAUGCAAGUCGAACGAAGUGGCGAACGGGUGAGUAACGCGUAAUCAACCUGCCCUUCAGAGGGGGACAACAGUUGGAAACGACGGCUAAUACCGCAUACUGAAGGAGGGGAUUGCGUCUGAUCAGCUGGUUGGAGGGGUAACGGCCCACCAAGGCGAUGAUCAGUAGCCGGUCUGAUAGGAUGAACGGCAACAUUGGGACUGGGACACGGCCCAGACUGCUACGGCAGGAAGCAGUGGGGAAACUUCAGCAAUGGACGAAAGUCUGACGGAGCAACGCCGCGUGAGUGAUGACGGCCUUCGGGUUGUAAAGCUUUGUUAAUCGGGACGCGGUACCGGAAUAGAAAGCCACGGCUAACUACGUGCCAGCCACCGCGGAAAUUC